GUUCUGUCCUUUCGGAACAUCCGGUAAAAUUGGAACGAUACAGAAAAAAUUAGCAUGAUCUAUGCGCAAGAAUGAUACACAUAAAUUCAGAAAUAGUCUAAAUUCAA